CACGUAGGGGGCGAGCGUUGUCCGGAUUUAUUGGGCGUAAAGAGCUCGUCGGCGGUUCGAUAAGUCGGGUGUGAAAACUCUGGGCUCAACUCAGAGACGCCACCCGAUACUGUUGUGACUUGAGUCCGGUAGGGGAGUAUGGAAUUCCCGGUGUAGCGGUGAAAUGCGCAGAUAUCAGGAGGAACACCGGUGGCGAAGGCGGGUCUCUGGGCAGUAACUGACGCUGAGGAGCGAAAGCGUGGGGAGCGAACAGG
rnacentral:rRNA from 1 species